AUCUUGUAUUAAAUUGGUAUCUUCUUGUGGUAUUGAGGCUUUGAUGGUGGAGCUUUGAAGGCAAUGCAGAUUCUGAGUUCUCUUCAAUACUGUGGUGAACACAAGCGAUAUUUGAGGGGUGAAUGGUUAAGUUGUAAAUCAAACAGCAAUAUCAAACAUACACUUGGAGUGAGAAGCAAAAAUUGGGAGAAUGGUUUUGAGUGGUUCACUUUUAGUUAAUUGCUGUGGCUAACAGUAGUCUUCUGUGUGUAUUAACGGGUCAUCAAAUGACAAGUUCUCCACUACCAAGCCAGAGCAAGUGAAAGAGAGAUGCAAGUUAUGAAUUAAGUUUGAUGGGAGCCAAUCCAGUGAAUAUGAGAUCCCUGAAGACAAUACUUUUAUGCCAAAUUUUGCAUUGUGAAUUCUGGAUAUAUUACUACUUCCUGGCACCCUUUACUCUCCCUAUACUUGUUGCUGUAUACUUCCAUUGGCUUAGCAUGACGCUUUUUAAGCAUGCAUGACAUUCUUAGCACAAGCUUGAAGCAGCGGAACAAUGGAAGAAGAAGAAAAGAAGAAUAAGAGGACAAACAAUUGCCAGGUAUUCCUUUAACCCACCCGGGUAAA